AGAGUUUGAUCCUGGCUCAGAAUGAACGCUGGCGGCGUGCCUAACACAUGCAAGUCGUACGAGAAACUCCGGGCUUGCUCGGAGGAGUAAAGUGGCGCACGGGUGAGUAACGCGUGAGUAACCUGCCCCUGAAUCUGGGAUAACUUCGCGAAAGCGUUGCUAAUACCGGAUAUUGUCUUUUUUGCUCUGGCAUGAAAGAUGAAAGGUGACCUCUUCAUGAAAGUUGCCGUUUAAGGAGGGGCUCGCGUACCAUUAGCUUGUUGGUGGGGUAAUGGCCUACCAAGACUACGAUGGUUAGCUGGUCUGAGAGGAUGAUCAGCCACACUGGAACUGAAACACGGUCCAGACUCCUACGGGAGGCAGCAGUGAGGAAUUUUGCGCAAUGGGGGAAACCCUGACGCAGCAACGCCGCGUGAGUGAAGAAGGCCUUCGGGUCGUAAAGCUCUGUCAAGUGGGAAAAAACACUUGCGGAUAAUACUCGGUAGUACUGACGGUACCCACAAAGGAAGCACCGGCUAACUCCGUGCCAGCAGCCGCGGUAAUACGGAGGGUGCAAGCGUUGUUCGGAAUUAUUGGGCGUAAAGAGCGUGUAGGCGGUUGUCUAAGUCUGAUGUGAAAGCCCGGGGCUCAACCCCGGAAGUGCAUUGGAAACUGGAAUACUUGAGUAUGGGGGAGGAAAUUGGAAUUCCUGGUGUAGAGGUGAAAUGCUUAGAUAUUCGGAGGAACACCAGUGUCGAAGGCGGCUUUCUGGACCAAUACUGACGCUGAGACGCGAAAGGGUGGGGAGCAAACAGGAUUAGAUACCCUGGUAGUCCACGCCGUAAACGAUGGGUAAUAGAUGUCGCGGGUAUUGACCCCUGCGGUGCCGGAGCUAACGCAUUAAGUUGUCCGCCUGGGGAGUACGAUCGCAAGAUUAAAACUCAAAGGAAUUGACGGGGGCCCGCACAAGCGGUGGAGCAUGUGGUUUAAUUCGACGCAACGCGAAGAACCUUACCUGGAUUUGACAUCCUGGGAAUAUUUUCGAAAGAGAUUUUAGUGCCCUUAGGGGAACCCAGUGACAGGUGCUGCAUGGCUGUCGUCAGCUCGUGUCGUUAGAUGUUCGGUUAAGUCCGGCAACGAGCGCAACCCCUAUCUUCAGUUGCCAUCAUUAAGUUGGGAACUCUGAAGAUACUGCCCCGGUUAACGGGGAGGAAGGUGGGGAUGACGUCAAGUCCUCAUGGCCCUUAUAUCCAGGGCUACACACGUGCUACAAUGGCCGGUACAAUGGGCAGCAAUACCGCGAGGUGGAGCGAAUCCCAAAAAGCCGGUCUCAGUUCGGAUUGGAGUCUGCAACUCGACUCCAUGAAGUUGGAAUCGCUAGUAAUCGCGUAUCAGCAUGACGCGGUGAAUACGCUCCCGGGCCUUGUACACACCGCCCGUCACACCACGGGAGUCUGUUGUACCGUAAACAGCUGCGCUAACCCCAUUAGGGGAGGCAGGCACCUAAGGUACGGUCGGUAAUUGGGGUGAAGUCGUAACAAGGUAACCAA
rnacentral:rRNA from 1 species